AGUUUUGCAAGAUUCAAAAAUAGUUUCUCAUAUAAUGAACGAUAUAAUAUUUGUGCCAAUUGUUACUCAAUAUUGUGACCUAUUGCCCCUUCCUCCACCAGAUCCGUGUCUCCACCGGUCAAUUUAUCUGAUCUAUCAGUGUUCACCUAUUUGGCCAAACAAGGGUACUUAAAUCAAUGUGACUUUGUCAAGACUAUUAAAAAACUUUCAAAACUUCGCUUAAGACUCAUCAAUUACUAUGAGACCUUGUUCGUGACUCGGGAAUAGUGUGAAAUUCUCAGGAACUUCAGUAAAGUUUACCAGAUUCGCCUUCAUGUACUCAAAUUCAGUGUGACUUUAUCAAAACCUUCUUCAAAAUCUUCUUAAAAUAAACAAUUAACGGAAAUCCAGUUGCUCAAAACAUUUAUUUGAAUUUAAUAAACCGUCGUUUGUCACGGUCCGAAAUAUAAAGUGUUGCGGUACUAAUUGUGAUAAUUCUUGAAACCAAGAAAAUCGUAAUUACUCCUUUCUGCCAAAGCGUCAGGUUCCAGCAGUGGUGUAAAAUUCUCGACAUCGAUAAGGAAAACGUAUCACCUAAAACUGUCGUUUGCAGCAAACACUUUUAGCCACCUUCAAGAAAUUUCUCAAAGAGUUUUACCGACCUCUCCACCCCAUUUGUGUCUUCACCAUUGUCUGUGUCUCCACCGAAAGGGGGGUGGGUUAAUUUAUCCUUUAUAUGAACAAGAAGAUAAAGAUUAGAAAUAAGUUUCACUACAGUUUGAAGUAGAAGAACCAGAACCACAUUCAACUGUUUCCAUUUUCCUUAUAUACUCAAGGCACGAAAAUUAUUGCUACUAUUUGUAAUAAAAUAUUUUGCAACCGGGAAA